CUAAGUUUGAUGGCGACCGGUGCACGGGUGAGUAACACGUAUCCAACCUGCCGAUGACUCGGGGAUAGCCUUUCGAAAGAAAGAUUAAUACCCGAUGGCAUAGUUCUUCCGCAUGGUAGAACUAUUAAAGAAUUUCGGUCAUCGAUGGGGAUGCGUUCCAUUAGGUUGUUGGCGGGGUAACGGCCCACCAAGCCUUCGAUGGAUAGGGGUUCUGAGAGGAAGGUCCCCCACAUUGGAACUGAGACACGGUCCAAACUCCUACGGGAGGCAGCAUG
rnacentral:rRNA from 1 species